GGCGGUCAUCGCGGGCUAACCGGCGAUCAUGUCGAUACACUCCCGGAACCGCCGGUCACGGCAUAUUGUCGUUGUCGUUGUUAUUUUUAUUUCCGGUGCCGUUCACGUUCCCGGUCGAGUAGUCGGCGCGAAACACUCGUCGUCGUCCGACGAACAAUCACCGGACCGCACGCGAAUUUGAUAGGCCCAAUACGAUACGGGACGUACGGACCCGGUUGACG